GGGGUUGUGGCUCAGUGGUAGAGUGCUCACCUAGCAUGUGUGAGGCCCUGGGUUUGAUUCUCAGCACCA
rnacentral:tRNA from 1 species